rnacentral:rRNA from 1 species
CGAGCACGCGCGUGUGGCAUAUCAAUAAGCGGAGGAAAAGAAACUAACAAGGAUUCCCUUAGUAACGGCGAGUGAAGCGGGAAGAGCUCAAAUUUGAAAUCUUCAAGGUUCUACCUUGACGAAUUGUAGUUUAUAGAAGUGUUUUCUGUUAGUAGAGUGGCAAAAGUUCUUUGGAAUAGGACAUCAUAGAGGGUGAGAAUCCCGUAUUUGGUCAUUCUUUCUAGCUUUGUGAUACACUUUCAACGAGUCGGAUUGUUUGGGAAUGCAGUCCAAAAUGGGUGGUAAAUUUCAUCUAAAGCUAAAUAUUGGCGAUGAGACCGAUAGCGAACAAGUACCGUGAGGGAAAGAUGAAAAGAACUUUGAAAAGAGAGUUAAACAGUACGUGAAAUUGUCAAAAGGGAAGCGUUUGACACCAGUGUUGUUUUUCCGAAAAUCAAUUACGAAUGUUUUGUUUUUGAGGAGUUAUGACUUCAUCGGCUUGCUUCUCUCUUUACGAAACUUUCUUAAUGCACUUUUCGGUUAACAAGUCAACAUCAAUUUCUUCUGUUGUAAAAGGGUAUGAGGAAGGUGGCUUUCUUUUCGGAGAAAGUGUUUAUAGCCUUGUACCUCUGCAAUCGGAGAGAUUGAGGUCUGCAGCGUAGAUCCUUCGGGGUUAGAUACAUUUGUGCUAAGUUAUAGCUUUUCAUAGACAACUUGUUGACUAUGUUAAGUCUUGUAGCUUACUCGCUUAUGCUAUUUUACCUACGCUUAGGAUGUUGAGUAGCGACAUACGCAC